GGGGUGGGUUUGGUGUUGGGUUUUGUUUAUUUUUCCAUGCUAGCUCCUUGGAACAUAAUGGGCUCUUAGAAAACACCUAAAACAUUGAGACACCUGUUUUGCAGGAGUUGGCAAGUUCAAGUAACGAAGAAGAAGAAUUUGAAGGUGGGGAUCUAAGAGAAGGGAAUGAAAUCUGUGGGAGAGCUGAGCCCAUUUGUGUUGGUAAAGGAAAGGAAAGGAAUCUUACUGAAUGUAAACUUUUAGUCAACUUCAGCUUUCUUCAGCCCAGCACCUGAAACAUGGUCCUUCCAACUAUUCCUCAAUUCUUUACAGGUAUUCUCCUCCAAAAAAUAUGAC
rnacentral:lncRNA from 14 species